rnacentral:rRNA from 1 species
CCUACGGGCGGCUGCCGUAAGGAAUAUUGGUCAAUGGACGAAAGUCUGAACCAGCCAUCCCGCGUGCAGGAUGAAAGCCCUAUGGGUUGUAAACUGCUUUUAGCAGAGAAGAAAAGCUUUCAUUAAUGAGAGUCUGACGGUAUCUGCAGAAUAAGCACCGGCUAACUCCGUGCCAGCAGCCGCGGUAAUACGGAGGGUGCGAGCGUUAUCCGGAAUUACUGGGUUGAAGGGGUAGGAUUGCGUCAGUUGAUAAAUCUUGUCGCUUAACGGUAAAAUGGCCAAUGAUACUGGUACUCUUGAAUUGGGUUGAGGUUAGCGGAAUGUGACAUGUAGCGGUGAAAUGCAUAGAUAUGUCAUGGAACACCAAUUGCGAAGGCAGCUAACUGGGCCUUGAUUGACGCUGAGGCACGAAAGCGUGGGUAGCGAACAGGAUUAGAUACCCGGGUAGUC